rnacentral:rRNA from 1 species
AACGUAGGUACCGAGCGUUAUCCGGAUUUACUGGGCGUAAAGCGCGUUCAGGCGGUUUGGCAAGUCGGGCAUGAAAUCUCUCGGCUCAACCGGGAGAGGUUGUCCGAUACUUCCAGACUUGAGGGCAGUAGAGGGUGGUGGAAUUCCGGGUGUAGUGGUGAAAUGCGUAGAUAUUGGGAGGAACACCAGUGGCGAAGGCGGCUACCUGGACCGGUUCUGACGCUGAGGCGCGAAAGCGUGGGUAGCAAACAGG